GGGGAAAUAGCUCAUUUGGUAGAGUGCUUGCCUUGCAUGCACAAGGCCCUGGGUUCAAUCCCCAAUACCACCA
rnacentral:tRNA from 1 species